rnacentral:lncRNA from 1 species
CGACCUAGUCACUCUCCUUGGGGUGUUCUAGUGCCGGUUUUUGUGGAAAAGAAGGAUGGAUCCUUGCGGAUCAGAAGAGAAGAUCAGAGUAGCGCAGUGGAAGCAGGAGAAGUUUCAGGAGGAGGUUGAGGUAUUGCUUGAGGUGUCUCCUUUGAGAAGGGUGAUUCAUAAGGGAGAAAAUCCAUUCGGAUUUCCACGUUCCACUUUAUGAAAGUUCGUGUCAGAUCCAAGUAGGGUUCUUGAGGAACCAGAGGUGGAGGUCCCAAGGGAUCUCACCUGAGUUGAGCAGCUAUUGUGGAUCAUGGACACAUCAGUUAGUUAGUUUUGGAACAAGGAGAUUCAGAUGGAGAGGUCCUGUAGAAUCACCCCAGUUUGAGGAGUGUUCUUAGGAGAACCGGGAGUUUUGACUCCGGCGAUGCCGUGUCUCUUUUAGGAGAAAGUUUAGAGGUCUUGCUUGCUUGAUUGCUUGCUUGAUGUGUGUGUACGAUGAUAUGUUCUUAUGUUAUGUUUUUAUGCAUGAGUAGUUGAGGAACAUUCGGGGACGAAUGUUCUGUAAGGGGGGAAGAAUGUAAUACCCGGCUAGAAUCCGGCAUCGGGAUUCCUGCCUUCCGGCGGAAUCUAGGGUGUUGGAUCUCUCUAGAAGGGGUAAAAUGUGUU